AGUGAACGCUGGCGGUAGGCCUAACACAUGCAAGUCGAACGGCAGCACAGUAAGAGCUUGCUCUUACGGGUGGCGAGUGGCGGACGGGUGAGGAAUACAUCGGAAUCUACUUUUUCGUGGGGGAUAACGUAGGGAAACUUACGCUAAUACCGCAUACGACCUACGGGUGAAAGCAGGGGAUCUUCGGACCUUGCGCGAUUGAAUGAGCCGAUGUCGGAUUAGCUAGUUGGCGGGGUAAAGGCCCACCAAGGCGACGAUCCGUAGCUGGUCUGAGAGGAGGAUAGGCGACACUGGAACUGGGACACGGUCCAGACUCCUGCGGGAGGCAGCAGUGGGGAAUAUUGGACAAUGGGCGCAAGCCUGAUCCAGCCAUACCGCGUGGGUGAAGAAGGCCUUCGGGUUGUAAAGCCCUUUUGUUGGGAAAGAAAAGCAGCAGGUUAAUACCCCGCUGUUCUGACGGUACCCAAAGAAUAAGCACCGGCUAACUUCGUG
rnacentral:rRNA from 1 species